rnacentral:tRNA from 1 species
CAAAAGAUAGUUAAACAAAAUACUGGCUUUGGGGGUCAGUGAUAAGGAGGCACAGUCCUUUCUUUUGA